AAGUCGUAACAAGGUCUCCGUUGGUGAACCAGCGGAGGGAUCAUUACCGAGUUUACAACUCCCAAACCCGAUGUGAACGUUACCAAACUGUUGCCUCGGCGGGAUCUCUGCCCCGGGUGCGUCGCAGCCCCGGACCAAGGCGCCCGCCGGAGGACCAACCAAAACUCUUUUUGUAUACCCCCUCGCGGGUUUUUUAUAAUCUGAGCCUUCUCGGCGCCUCUCGUAGGCGUUUCGAAAAUGAAUCAAAACUUUCAACAACGGAUCUCUUGGUUCUG
rnacentral:misc_RNA from 1 species